AGAAGAUACCAUUGAAAUGAUCUGUUCUAAUUUUGUCUUGGGAAGGCCAGGAUACAAAGAUUCAAGCCGAUGACAUGCUCAGCGGUCACAUGGACAGCAACCAAAGCAGGUCUAGAAGUCUGGUCUGUGGAAUGACAAGCACCCACUGGAGCCAUUGACCUGCAGAUGACAGUCUCCAUGAAUGAGGGCUCAAAGGAAAGUAGAAGGGCAGGGCAGCUGUGGCUCUGUGCCCUUCCACAAAAGCUACGAGGAUACAGGAUGAGACGAGGAUGGAGGGAAAGCCCAUGGGCAAGAAAGCCCACCCAGCAGCAGUGCCGCAGCACAUCAGUACUCUCCGCUCUCCUCAGCUGGGCCCACAGAGACUGCCGGCCAUCAGAGUGGAGCUCCCACAGUGACUGAGGCGACCCACAGCCUUGGUGGCUACAGGCUCUUCUUACGACUCUAGAGACUCUUACGGGUUUCAUCUUCAACUUGAAAACGCUGAGGCUCCCUCUCCUUACAGGCCUCCCCUCAGCAAAGAACGCCCCUCUCCUGUCCCUUUCAUCAUCUUUGGCAUUCAUAGGAGAUGGCAGCCCCGCUACAGCGGAAAGUCUGCUCCGCAUCAAAGCCGCCCGGUUUUGUUUUUUGUUUUUCAUUACGCUCUGCAGAGCUCUCAAUUCCCAGCAUCCCCGAGCCCCCGAAUGCUCUAAAUGCCAGCAGUGUUUACAUUUUUGUUCAGCCUACACGUCCUUUCCUGCUUAAGAACCAUGUGCCCUCUCUUUCGUCGUGUGGCCAACACACCCUGCUUCCUUCCCCUUCCUCUGAUUCUUCCGACCUUUGACUCAGUCACACCCAUCCUGGCUGGUAGUGCAGAAGGGAGCAUUCGAAAUGUCUCAAGUCCUCGCCAGUGCCCUCUGGCAUGGUUCUCCUUAGGCAGAGCAAAAAUAGUCCAGUUACUCCAGGAGCCCCAGUUAUCAGUGUGUCCCAGUACUGAGCCCUGGUGUUACGUAUCUUAAUAACCGUUCUCUCAUUCACCUGAAGUAUGUUGUUCUACCUACUGUUCUUGUCCCCAGCAAACAGGAGUCAAAAAAUAAAAGUAGUGAUGUUUAGAUUUAGUAAAUUAUUUUUUUUAAUAAAUCCCGAGAAGUUCCAGUGCAA